UUGAGGUUACUUGUUAAAUUU
rnacentral:siRNA from 1 species